GCCAGGGUAGCCUAGCAGCGAGGCGGCAGACUGCAGAUCUGCUCUACGUGAGUGCGACUCUCACCCCUGGCU
rnacentral:tRNA from 1 species